rnacentral:rRNA from 1 species
CCGCACCUCAAGUGGUCAGGAUUAUUAUUGGGCCUAAAGCAUCCGUAGCCGGCUCUGAAAGUUUUCGGUUAAAUCUGUAUGCUCAACAUACAGGCUGCCGGGAAUACUGCAGAGCUAGGGAGUGGGAGAGGUAGACGGUACUCGGUAGGAAGGGGUAAAAUCCUUUGAUCUAUUGAUGAUCACCUGUGGCGAAGGCGGUCUACCAGAACACGUCCGACGGUGAGGGAUGAAAGCUGGGGGAGCAAACCGGAUUAGAUACCCGAUUAGUCC